GCUUUGAUAACAACGUAAAAAGCUCCUGGCAGCAGAAAAAUCAGAUGACACUCCUUCAACAAGUGGCAAUGAAUUUCUCAGUGCAGCAGAGGCCUUUGGUAAAGCCAAGAAACUACUACAGCCUCAAGUAAAGAAAAGGCAAUUUCCAUUGAAUGAUAAACGUUUGGACCAUGGCAAAUCAUUAUUGAAGGUCAGAAUGGCUCCCAUGGAGUGGAAACCAAGAACUCCGAGAAGGUGUGGACGGUACCAGAAGUUAAUAAUGGAC